CGAAGGACCCGAGCGUUAUCCGGAUUUAUUGGGUUUAAAGGGUGCGUAGGCGUCCUGGAAAGUUACGGUUGAAAUCUCCUUGCUCAACAAGGAAACUGGCCGUAAAACUAUCAGGAUUGAGUACAUUUGAAGCGGGCGGAAUGUGUCAUGUAGCGGUGAAAUGCUUAGAGAUGACACAGAACACCAAUUGCGAAGGCAGCUCGCUAAACUGUAACUGACGCUGAGGCACGAAAGCGUGGGGAUCAAACAGGAUUAGAUACCCUGGUAGUCCACGCCCUAAACGAUGAUUACUCGAUGUGUGCGAUACACUGUACGCGUCUGAGCGAAAGCAUUAAGUAAUCCACCUGGGGAGUAUGAUCGCAAGAUUG
rnacentral:rRNA from 1 species